CAUGUAAAUCCAUGGCUGAUUCAUGUCAAUGUAUGGCAAAAACCACUACAAUAUUGUAAAGUAAUUAGCCUCCAACUAAUAAAAAUAAAGGAGAAAAAAAAAAGAGAUAUGUUAGAGAAUUUGCUUCAAUUCCAAGAAAACUAGUUUUAGAUUAAAAAGUACAUGAGGUUCUGAACAGCACAAAGAAACCAAAUCUUCACCUAAGUACAUUACAGUGAAACUACAGAACAGUUUAAAAAUUAUUAGAGAAAACAGAAAACUUAGAAAGAUGUCAAUAAGAAUAGAAACAGACUUCCCGUCAGUGACAACUGAUACAGGAGGACAAUGAAGUUGUGUCCUCAAAGUGCUGAGCGAAAAUGUUAACAUAGAAUUCUAUACCCCAAGCUGUCAUUCAGGAUUAAGAAACAAAAACAUUUCCAGAUAUUUAAAAAUUAAGAAGUCGACUUUCACUGAAGUGCUUAAAUAAUAUUCCUCAGCAAGAAAACCAGACAAAAGAAUCCAGAAGGAAGAGCUGAAAGCCACGAAGAAGUGUAAACAAAGAAAAGUUUUUAAACUGAAAUAUCUAUUUAAGAAAACAAAACAACAACAGAAAAACAGCAGCAACCUAUUUUGGUGAAUUUAAAAGCAAGGUAGAAAUAAAACACUAUACAAAAGUAACUGAAAAAGUGGAAAGGAUGAAGAUGGAACAUUCCAAGUUCUUUCAGGCUAUUCUUUUUGCUAAAUCAGCUUUAGAGUUUGAGUUGAAUAUUUUGAGGUUAAAGAAUUAACCUUACAUUUUAAAAAUUAAGACAGAUUAAAAAUUAUUACUGCAUAGCCAGAAGGAAAUAAGAGAAUUAUUUAUUCAACAUAAUGCAGGACGAAAGGAGGCAGAGACACAAAACCAAAGCCCGAGGGUCCGGUAAGUAUUAUUAUUUUUAUUUACAGUUGAGACAAAUGAGGCUCAAAUUGUUUAAGUGAUUUAUCUAAAAUCAGACACCUAAGUGGUAGGAACCAAACUCUCAUCUGCCUUUCAGGUAGGUUAUGGUUCUACUUUUUUAAUGUCUCUCCUUCACUUCUGAGUCUGUAAUAUCUGACACAUGUUAGUUAUAUUUGAAUACUUCCAAAAUAGCCCUCAGAGUAAAUGUUGCCAUCAAAUAUUUCCUUUCCACUCUGUCUUCUCAUCUCACUCUUGCUGGUUUUGGUUGACACAGCCUUCUGAAUGCUGCCCACGAAGCAGGAACUUUGCAGUUGCCCCCGUACCCCAAGCUGCCCCCUGCAUCCACUUCAUCUCCUUCCCUGGGAAAUUACCUUACUAUUGAAGUGAAACAAGAAGGAAUGGAAAUGAUGUCAGAAAAACCUUUGACUUUGUAAGAGUCCUGUUAAGAAGGGUUACAUGAUACACCCACUUGAAAAUUAGAAAGAACAGUAUUACUUGAAGAGGCUCCUGCUUCACUUUUGCAACAGGUGGAUCCUGAGAAGCAGGUGGAAACAGUGGCUAAUAAAACAGUGUUCUUGACUGGUGCCUCUGUCCAUGGGAUUUCCCAGGCAAGAAUACUGGAGUGGGUAGCCACUUCCUUCUCCAGGGGAUCUUCUCAGCCCAGGGACUGAACCUGUAUUUCUGCACUGGUAGGUGGGUUCUUUACCCCUGAGGCACCAGGGCAGUCCAUCACUCUGUUUGGUAAACUCAAAGUAGAAAGCCAGUAUAUAAGUUCAUUUUUAUUUAAGGAUAGCCCAGUUGAUGUUUACUAUCAUCAAUUUGCAAUGGGAUGGAUAUGGAAACAGCUUAAAUAAACUAGCACGUUCUUUUAUAAAAUUGGCAGUUGAAACAGGACAGAGAAGUGCCAGUAUAAGAGAAUUUUCUGUGUCUCUGCUUCAGGAUUUAAACGAGAAGACAAUUCUCCAACAGUCUCUAGUCUGGUAAUGUUUCUGCUGCAAGCCUCAACGCCUCCUCUCUCUUGGUUAAAGGGAGAUGGGAUGGACUGUGUCUAAACUGCUUUCCUGUGGGAAGAUCUGAACCCAGGCCUGAUAUUCCCAGAAGGUUACCUGUCAUAUCUCCUCUUCCUCCUCCCUCAAACCCCUCAGAGGGUAGAGUGCUCACUUGGCCACUCAAGCGGCUCUUUUCUUUCUAAUCACAUUUUGAAGAGGGACCAUGUGAGAUGGGAUAGAAAGUGCCCCAAGGUUUGCACACGAGUAAAAUGAUUUUGUUGUUAAAGACAUCUUCAACACUGCUUCCCAAAGAAAUUUAAGCUAAGGGUCUUCUAGUGAGAAAAUUUUAAGUAACCUUUAAAGAAUAGUUGUUGCAAGAUGAAUUGUCUUCCUUCAAGCCAGUGGGAACUCGAGGGGAGGCAUCAUCUUUAUGGACGUGACUUGUGUUAUUUUGGAAACACUGAUCUCUGAAAUGUGUUAAUAAUACAAAUAUCAGGGGAUCAUCAAUCUCAGCACGUUACAAUCCUGCCACCUUGUGGGGACUCUUUAAAGUACAUAUGGGGAAAAUGUGAAGGGACAGGAUGUGCUUGCUCCAUGUACAUCUCUGCGUGGCAGGUGACAAGAUGUAGGCAGACAGGACUUGGGUGGGGAGUCUAACCAUGGCCACGCACCUGUUGGUGUGAGCAGCGAUGCGGCUGGAGAUGACUCUGAAGGAAGCUGUGCUUCCCAUAGCCACGUUUAGGCAACUGGAUAGCGCCUCAGAUUGGCAAUGGACUUCACAUUUUCACCUUCAUCCUGUCACUCAAUUAAUUUCAGAUCAGAAUAAAGCAGGGGUCACUUCCAACUGCUGACUGUUGGGUGACAUUUGGAAAUGAGUUAUUGGAUUCAGAAUGACAUAGGAUUGGUGGAUAAGCAUUGCUUGACUUUAGAUUGGUGCAGAGUAGAGACUUUAAUUGUAUUGACCAAAACUGGCAUCUCUGUUCUUCAAAGCACCAAAUGAUGAAUGAUUUAAAACUUGCAUAAUUGAAGUAUAAUCUGCAAAAAUACUGAUUCACUAUGCUGUAUACCUGAAAAUGAUGUAAUAUUGUAAAUUAACUAUACUUUAAUAAAAAUUAAUUCAAAAAGUAGCAUCAUUUUCUUAUUUCAUGAGUCAAAAAUUCUAAACAAAUGACUAAAUGACUUCUUCAAAGUCGGAUGCGUCUUUGUGAUGCUCUUCUUUUGGCAUGAAUACUAAGCAGAAGAUAAUUUCUACAGUACAGACUUUAAUAUUCUGAAAUACAAAACCGCUGUUCAAGUUGUUUACUGAGAAACUGAGUUAUGUUAACUCUCUGAAUAUAAGCUCUUUUGGUAAACAGUGGGCAUUUGCAGUUCCAUCUACACACUAAUGUCUGAAGAGUAAUUCUUUGUGGUAUGGAAAAUGUAUGUUUCCCCUUUAAAUACAAAGCAGUAUCCAAU